GGUAGGGUGGCCGAGUGCAAGGCGGUGGAUUGUAGCUCCAUGAACAGAGGUUUAAAUCCUCUCUCUAUCA
rnacentral:tRNA from 1 species